rnacentral:lncRNA from 1 species
CCCCAAAUUAAAUUCCCUCCAAAUAAACUAGAGUAUCCGUCUGUGUUCGGCUUCCUGAUUUAAAAAUAUAUGCACUUUAAUUACGAGGUCCAUUAAUUCAACCGUCUACACAACCAACACAACUCAUAAAAAUAUAUGCACUUUAAAGAAAACGAAAUCACUAAUUUUCUCUAAGCAAAUGCAUGAAUGACACGUGCCAUGUGA